GUCUGGCCACUGCGGAAUCACCGUAGCCCACCGGCAGCGCCGAGUCAGCCAUCUCGCUGCUCGGCCGCCUCAUCCCACUGUCGCCGCUGCACAGCCGCCUCCCACCCGAAAACACUCCAAACCAGCCCGGAACCACCCCGAAACGUCCCGCAAGACACGUUCUCAACAUAAAAGUUAAUUGGGGGAGAUGGAAGGUGAAGGAGUUGGAAACAUGGAGGGUCUCCAAUUGAGAAGAAACGGCCGAGAGGGAGGAAAGAAGAAGAAGAAGAAGAAGAAGAAGAAGAAGAAAGACUUGGGCUUGUUCCCACAUUUUGGAAUUAAAAUUGGGCUUCCAAACUUGAAUUUGUUUUGGGCUUGUUUAAUUGCAAGCCCAAGUUUGUAAAAUUCUUUAUUUGUAGACUUUUUAUUUGUUAGGGCCAAAAGCCCUUUUUACUUAUAAGAAUAUUGGACUUAAUUUAGGAUCCCAA